AACGAACGCUGGCAGCAGGCUUAACACAUGCAAGUCGAGCGCCCCGCCAGGGGAGUGGCAGACGGGUGAGUAGCGCGUGGGAACGUACCCUCAUCUUCGGCCUAGCUCCGGGAUACUGGAAUCAUUACCGAAUGUGCCCUUUGGGGGAAUGAUUUAUCGGGUAAGGCUCGGCCCGUGUUAGAUUUGCGGGUUGGUGGGGUAAAGGCCUACCUAGGCGACGUUCCAUAGCUGGUCUGAGUGGCUGAUCAGCCACAUUGGGACUGCGACACAGCCCCAACUCGGACGCGGGAGAGCAGUAGGGAAUAUUAGGCGAUGAGCGCUGGCCUGAUCCAGCCGUGCCGCGUGAGUGAUGAAUGCCUUAGGAUAGUAAAGCUCUUUGUCCGGAGGAGAUAAUGACGGUAUCCGGAGAAGAAGCCCCGGCUAACUUCGUG
rnacentral:rRNA from 1 species